rnacentral:miRNA from 1 species
AUUCAUAGCACUAUGGCUUACC